rnacentral:rRNA from 1 species
UACGGGGGGGGCAAGCGUUGUUCGGAAUUACUGGGCGUAAAGGGUUUGUAGGUGGCUUGUUAAGUCAGACGUGAAAUCCCUCAGCUUAACUGGGGAACUGCGUCUGAUACUGGCGAGCUUGAGUGCAGGAGAGGAACGCGGAGUUCCAGGUGUAGCGGUGAAAUGCGUAGAUAUCUGGAGGAACACCGGUGGCGAAGGCGGCGUUCUGGACUGCAACUGACACUGAGAAACGAAAGCCAGGGUAGCAAACGGG